GUGUCAGCAGCCGCGGUAAUACGGAGGGGGCUAGCGUUGUUCGGAAUUACUGGGCGUAAAGCGCACGUAGGCGGAUAGUUAAGUUAGAGGUGAAAGCCCAGGGCUCAACCCUGGAACUGCCUUUAAUACUGGCUGUCUAGAGAUCGAGAGAGGUGAGUGGAAUUCCGAGUGUAGAGGUGAAAUUCGUAGAUAUUCGGAGGAACACCAGUGGCGAAGGCGGCUCACUGGCUCGAUACUGACGCUGAGGUGCGAAAGCGUGGGGAGCAAACAGGAUUAGAUACCCGUGUAGUCC
rnacentral:rRNA from 1 species